rnacentral:rRNA from 1 species
CUUGUUCCUUAAAUAGGGACUCGUAUCAACGGCAUCACGAGGGUUAUACUGUCUCCCCCCUCUAAUCAGUGAAACUAACCUCCCCGUGAAGAGGCGGGGAUACAACUACAAGACGAGAAGACCCCAUGGAGCUUUAAACCCAAUGACACCUCCACUCCAAUACUUCCACACAUAUAUAAAGUAAUGUACAUUGGUUUUAGGUUGGGGUGACCGCGGAGUAAAACUAAACCUCCAUGACGAACGGAAAUUUAUCCUAAUCCACGAGCCGCCACUCUAAGAAUCAAAAAUUUGACGUAAUAUGAUCCGGCAACCGAUCAACGAACCAAGUUACCCUGGGGAUAACAGCGCAAUCCAUUUCAAGAGCCCCUAUCGACAAAUGGGUUUACGACCUCGAUGUUGGAUCAGGGUAUCCCAGUGGUGCAGCCGCUACUAAAGGUUUGUUUGUUCAACAAUUAAAACCCU